rnacentral:lncRNA from 1 species
AGACACUCAUUCAGACACUUUUGUCACCUCACUUACUCUCUCUGUCUCUCCCCCCUCUCCCUCUCUCAUAUUUCUCUUUUUUCUAUAAACAUAUUUCAGAAAUGGAGUUAUUGUCUCCCAACAAUUCCAGGAGAACCAAACAAUGGCUUCCUCCGAGAAGAGGACAGGUCAAGAUCAUGAUCGUCCGCAAACUCCUCAAAUCGACGGCCUCGAUCGUUUCACUGUGGAAGAGGCGAGAUUGUAAAUAACUGUGUACAUACUUUUUGUUGUUGUUUUAAUGUUAAUUAUGUACAUACUUUGUAAGAUGUAAUCUCAUGUAUCACGUAUGAAAAAAAAAGUUUUUGUUAGAAGAUAUUUUUUGCUUAUUAAUCUCUAUAUUAUGUAGACAAAUUUUCUUUUCUUCCUUGUAAAUAUUUACAAGUUGUUCCAUAUAUUACAUGCCAUAACUUAAAAAUGAUACUAACGGGUCUUGGACCAAAACUGAUAUCUGUUGGGACAUGCAUAAAGCCUAACAUAACAAUUAACAAGUGUCAUAAAUUUUGGAUUCACUUGUAGCGAUGAUACAACGAAAGUAAAACUACUUAUUACAUUUGUCAAAUGAUACUAUAUAGGUAGCUCAUAACUAUGUAUAGAUCUCUAAAAUUCAUCUAAACCCGAAUUCUGCCGUGUGGAAUUAACAAAAAAAAAAAAAAGAAGAGUAAAUCAUUUGAACAAUUACGUGUGUUACAUUCCUGUUAAUCAUAUUUAUAUAUGUAUAGGUUAAAGCUUGCUUAUCUACUAUGGAACAAAGAGGAUCUAUAAUAACCCUUCAGCAAGUCAGCGACAAAGACUGUAGUAGCGCGUUACGAUAGUGAUAACGUUCACACGUGUCUCCAUUGCCACAUCUACUCAGACACCAACCAAAAAAACCUUGUAG